rnacentral:ribozyme from 1 species
AUUAGAUAUCUGCAAUAGUAUAGGAUCCGAAGCCCCUCUGAGGGAUAACAUAGGCUUUCCAAUUCAACUCCCAUUCGGACCCGUCCCAGUUUGUGCAGAGUGGUAACUUGGGUCAUCGAAUAUCCAAGCUUGGGUACACAGACUAGUUCCAACCGCUUGAGCGGAUAGUGGCGCGUAGCUAAUCAGGAGGGU